CAUAUCAGGUAUGGUAGGUGACUUGCACAAAGCCAUGCUUGUUGCUAGGUGAUUUUAUCUAUUAUACAACGGCUCGUUGUUUUUGUUUUCAUUGGACACUAUACUUGGCGUGCAUACAUCUGCUCUAAAAAUUAAAUGAACGAGUAGAAAUAUGGCAAUUGGAGUUCACCACAUAAAAUUCUUGUGUUGAAUGACAUAUUAUUUUCUAAUGUUUCAAAAGCUACCGAAUGUGAUGGUUUGCCAAGUCACGAGAAGAAAUUCUUCAUUCGUCUAUUGCUUUCUGGCUACUGGGCCAAGUUCCCUUGCACGCUUGCUGUGGCCAUAAUUAAUUAGAACAUGUGCUGUGGCAUAAGUGGAGAUUGGUACGAUGACGGAGCCUGCUGCUGAUUAUAAUUCUGCUCCGGAACGUAAGACGGUGUAGGUGGUUUGUAGAUUGGUGGCAUUUGUAGAAAAUGGAAGGAUAUUUAUCAUUCCUUGAAACAAUUCCAAAAAUAGCCAUAGAUAAUAUAAAUAUUUGGCUUAUUCACCGACUGCUCACCAAACGAAGAAGAAAUGAAACGAAAAGAAAUUGCAGUGAAUUACUGUAUUCUCGAUAACUCACAUCAAACCUAAAAAUAUCUGGUCAUUCACUAUAACAUAGCAGACGGGAGUGGGGAAAUGAAUAAAAAGAAGGGACAGAGGCAUUGAAGUGCAUCAUUCGAUCUUCUGCUGGCUUUAAAGUAACAAGCCGAUAACAAUCC